UCUGGUGGCGAUAGCGAAGAGGUCACACCCGUUUCCAUACCGAACACGGAAGUUAAGCUCUUUAGCGCCAAUGGUAGUUGGGACUUUGUCCCUGUGAGAGUAGGACGUUGCCAGGC
rnacentral:rRNA from 2 species